GAUGAACGCUGGCGGCGUGCCUAAUACAUGCAAGUCGAGCGGAAGGACGAGAAGCUUGCUUCUCUGCUGUUAGCGGCGGGCGGGUGAGUAACGCGUGGAUAACAUUCCUCUAUGUCUGGGAUAACUUCGGGAAGAAGGAGCUGAUACCAGAUAAUAUUUUGAACCGGUGGGAUCAGAAGUGAAAGACGGUCUUGGUGUUUCUUUUAGCUGGAUCCGCGUUGGAUUAGCUAGUUGGUAAGGUAAAGGCCCACCAAGGCAACGAUGCGUAGCCGGCCUGAGAGGAUGAUCAGCCACACUGGAACUGAGACACGGUCCAGACUCCUACGGGAGGCAGCAGUGGGGAAUAUUGGACAAUGGGCGCAAGCCUGAUCCAGCCAUACCGCGUGGGUGAAGAAGGCCUUCGGGUUGUAAAGCCCUUUUGUUGGGAAAGAACAGCAGCAGGUUAAUCCCCCGCUGUUCUGACGGUACCCAAAGAAUAAGCACCGGCUAACUUCGUG
rnacentral:rRNA from 1 species